GACGAACGCUGGCGGCGUGCCUAGUACAUGCAAGUAGAACGCACAGUUUAUACCGUAGCUUGCUACACCAUAGACUGUGAGUUGCGAACGGGUGAGUAACGCGUAGGUAACCUGCCUGGUAGCGGGGGAUAACUAUUGGAAACGAUAGCUAAUACCGCAUAAUAUUAAUUAUUGCAUGAUAAUUGAUUGAAAGGUGCAAAUGCAUCACUACCAGAUGGACCUGCGUUGUAUUAGCUAGUAGGUGAGGUAACGGCUCACCUAGGCGACGAUACAUAGCCGACCUGAGAGGGUGAUCGGCCACACUGGGACUGAGACACGGCCCAGACUCCUACGGGAGGCAGCAGUAGGGAAUCUUCGGCAAUGGACGAAAGUCUGACCGACCAACGCCGCGUGAGUGAAAAAAGUUUUCGCAUAUAAAGAUCUGUUGAAGCAGACGAACGGUGGGGGUAGGUUGAAUUUUCUUUUUUCUUCUGGUGCCCCCC
rnacentral:rRNA from 1 species